CUUGAACGAGCCCAGCCACAGCGGCUGGUCGGCGGGCCGCUCGCGCCCGUAGGCGGCGAUGAGGGCCUGCGCCUC
rnacentral:antisense_RNA from 1 species